rnacentral:rRNA from 1 species
UACGGGGGGGGCAAGCGUUGUUCGGAAUUACUGGGCGUAAAGAGCGCGCAGGCGGUCGUUCAAGUCGAGUGUGAAAGCCCCCGGCUCAACUGGGGAGGGUCACUCGAUACUGAUCGACUCGAAGGCAGGAGAGGGUAGUGGAAUUCCCGGUGUAGUGGUGAAAUGCGUAGAUAUCGGGAGGAACACCAGUGGCGAAGGCGACUACCUGGCCUGUUCUUGACGCUGAGGCGCGAAAGCUAGGGGAGCAAACGGG